rnacentral:rRNA from 1 species
UGGGGGAUAUUGCACAAUGGGCGAAAGCCUGAUGCAGCGACGCCGCGUGGGGGAUGAAGGCUUUCGGGUUGUAAACCUCUUUCGCUAUCGAACAAGGCCCGCUUAGGGUGGGUUGAGGGUAGGUGGAGAAGAAGCGCCGGCUAACUACGUGCCAGCAGCCGCGGUAAUACGUAGGGCGCGAGCGUUGUCCGGAAUUAUUGGGCGUAAAGGGCUUGUAGGCGGCUUGUUGCGCCUGCUGUGAAAACGCGGGGCUUAACUUCGCGCGUGCAGGGGGGACGGGCAGGCUUGAGGGUGGUAGGGGUGACUGGAAUUCCAGGUGUAGCGGUGGAAUGCGCAGAUAUCUGGAGGAACACCGAUGGCGAAGGCAGGUCACUGGGCCAUUACUGACGCUGAGGAGCGAAAGCAUGGGUAGCGAACAGG